rnacentral:rRNA from 1 species
CAAUAGCGUAUAUUAAAGUUGUUGCAGUUAAAAAGCUCGUAGUUGGAUUUGUGGCGUACGGUGUGUUCCGGGCACUUGUUGUCUGAGUAACCUGCUGUUGCCAUCCUUGGGUGGAACCUGUGUGGCAUUAGGUUGUCGCGCAGGGGAUGCCCAUCAUUUACUGUGAAAAAAUUAGAGUGUUCAAAGCAGGCUUAUGCCGUUGAAUAUAUUAGCAUGGAAUAAUGAGAUAGGACUUUUUUGCUAUUUUGUUGGUUUGCGCAAAGAGGUAAUGAUUAAUAGGGACAGUUGGGGGUAUUCGUAUUCCAUUGUCAGAGGUGAAAUUCUUGGAUUUUUGGAAGACGAACUACUGCGAAAGCAUUUACCAAGGAUGUUUUCAUUAA